AGAGUUUGAUCAUGGCUCAGAUUGAACGCUGGCGGCAUGGCUAAAACAUGCAAGUCGAGCGCGAAACCCGCUUCGGCGGGAAGUAGAGCGGCGAAAGGGCGAGUAAUGCGUUCCUACGUACCCCCAGGUCGGGGAUAGCCCGGGGAAACCCGGAGUAAUACCCGAUGUGGUCUCCGGAUCAAAGGCUUCGGCCGCCCGGGGAGCGGGGAACGUCCUAUCAGGUUGUUGGUGAGGUAACAGCUCACCAAGCCAGAGACGGGUAGCGGGUGUGAGAGCAUGACCCGCCGCAUCGGGACUGAGACACUGCCCGGACUCCUACGGGAGGCUGCAGUAACGAAUCUUCCGCAAUGCGCGAAAGCGUGACGGAGCAAUGCCGCGUGCAGGAUGAAGCCCUUCGGGGUGUAAACUGCUGUCAGGGUUUAGCAACACAAUGAGCAGACCCAAAGGAAGGGCCGGCUAACUUCGUGCCAGCAGCCGCGGUAAUACGAAGGGCUCGAGCGUUAAUCGGAAUCAUUGGGCUUAAAGCGUACGUAGGCGGAUUCGCAGGCAUCUUGUGAAAUCCCUCCGCUCAACGGAGGAACUGCAGGGUGAACCGCGAGUCUUGAGACAGGUAGGGGCUGUCGGAACGCUAGGUGGAGUGGUGAAAUGCGUUGAUAUCUAGCGGAACGCCGAAGGAGAAAUCAGGCAGCUGGGCCUGUUCUGACGCUGAUGUACGAAAGCGUGGGGAGCGAACGGGAUUAGAUACCCCGGUAGUCCACGCUGUAAACGAUGUGCACUAGAUCGAGGGGAUUCUGACAUCGCUCUCGGUCGAAGCGAAAGUGUUAAGUGCACCGCC
rnacentral:rRNA from 1 species